CAAGUUAGAGCUUGAUAUAAGUUUUUUACUUACACUAAAAAGAUAAUUGUUGAUUUCAAUUUAACUUGA
rnacentral:tRNA from 1 species